GACGAACGCUGGCGGCGUGCUUAACACAUGCAAGUCGAACGGAAAGGCCCUGCUUGCAGGGUUCUCGAGUGGCGAACGGGUGAGUAACACGUGGGUGAUCUGCCCUGCACUUCGGGAUAAGCCUGGGAAACUGGGUCUAAUACCGGAUAGGAGCCAUUUUUAGUGUGAUGGUUGGAAAGUUUUUUCGGUGUAGGAUGAGCUCGCGGCCUAUCAGCUUGUUGGUGGGGUAAUGGCCUACCAAGGCGGCGACGGGUAGCCGGCCUGAAAGGGUGGACGGCCACAUUGGGACUGAGAUACGGCCCAGACUCCUACGGGAGGCAGCAGUGGGGAAUAUUGCACAAUGGGCGCAAGCCUGAUGCAGCGACGCCGCGUGGGGGAUGACGGCCUUCGGGUUGUAAACUCCUUUCGCUAGGGACGAAGCUUUUUGUGACGGUACCUAGAUAAGAAGCACCGGCUAACUACGUG
rnacentral:rRNA from 1 species